CCCCCUUAUUUUCUUUAUAGUCCCCCCAUUGAUAAAAUGCAUAGAAACAUGUAAUCCCUCAAGGAACAAUUUCUCAGGAAAAAAAAUCAACGAAAUUGUUUUAUAGAACCACAUUCAAAAGGAAUUUACUGAAAAAGAUCUGCCCUCUUUCUCAAGAUUAUGGUGAAACAAGCGCGAGAUUAGCCUCUUUCCUGAUACAAAAUCUCUUGUGUCAUGAUCCAUCAAGUGGUUAGGAUUGGGCAUCAUGUUGGUCUGAUAUGGAGGUUCCAAGAAGCUACUGGGUUAUCUUUGUUUUUUCUACUUUGCAUCUGAACACUAGGCAUAAGCUCUUCAUGUCACGAGUACUCAGCAAAAUAGGCUACUUCAGCGCCAACCAUCAUUGGCCAUGGUCCCUGGUCUGCACAGUAUUCGUUUUAUGUACAUGAGUUUUCCUUUCCAUGAUAUGUUGGGGAAAAUACCAGUCUGGUAAUUUAGCCUAAUUAUUGUUACACACUAUUUAAUUUCUUGACUAGUUAGGUAACAACCUGUUACAUGAUAUUUUGUUCAUCGUUCUUAAACCUAUAUGCAAUUGUAUGCACUUUCUUUUACUUUUCCUUUGGUACCACUAGUUGUGAUCACAUUAUGAUGAUCCUGAUCUUGCACAUCCAAAUUGCAUGUAGCAGCUCAU